rnacentral:miRNA from 1 species
UUUUUAACAGUAGAAAUGAAUGAA